GGGGUUGUGGCUCAGUGGUAGAGCACUCGUCUAGCAUGUGAGAGGCCCUGGGUUCAACCCUCAGCACCACA
rnacentral:tRNA from 1 species